rnacentral:rRNA from 1 species
CGGGGGGAAAGAAACAACAGGGAUUGCCCUAGUAACGGCGAGUGAAGCGGCAACAGCUCAAAUUUGAAAUCUGGCCCCCGGGUCCGAGUUGUAAUUUGUAGAGGAUGCUUUUGGCGAGGUGCCUUCCGAGUUCCCUGGAACGGGACGCCAUAGAGGGUGAGAGCCCCGUCUGGUCGGACACCGAGCCUCUGUAAAGCUCCUUCGACGAGUCGAGUAGUUUGGGAAUGCUGCUCAAAAUGGGAGGUAUAUGUCUUCUAAAGCUAAAUAUUGGCCAGAGACCGAUAGCGCACAAGUAGAGUGAUCGAAAGAUGAAAAGCACUUUGAAAAGAGGGUUAAAAAGUACGUGAAAUUGUUGAAAGGGAAGCGCCUAUGACCAGACUUGGGCCCGGUGAAUCACCCAGCGUUCUCGCUGGUGCACUUCGCCGGGCACAGGCCAGCAUCAGUUUGGCGCGGGGGAGAAAGGCUUCGGGAAUGUGGCUCCCCUGGGAGUGUUAUAGCCCGUUGCGCAAUACCCUGCGCUGGACUGAGGUACGCGCAUUCGCAAGGAUGCUGGCGUAAUGGUCAUCAGCGACCCGUCUUGAAACACGGACCAAGGAGUCGUCUUCGUAUGCGAGUGUUCGGGUGUCAAACCCCUACGCGUAAUGAAAGUGAACGCAGGUGAGAGCUUCGGCGCAUCAUCGACCGAUCCUGAUGUUCUCGGAUGGAUUUGAGUAAGAGCAUACGGGGCCGGACCCGAAAGAAGGUGAACUAUGCCUGUAUAGGGUGAAGCCAGAGGAAACUCUGGUGGAGGCUCGCAGCGGUUCUGACGUGCGAAUCGAUCGUCAAAUAUGGGCAUGGGGGCGAAAGACUAAUCGAACCUUCUAGUAGCUGGUUUCGCCGAUUUCCUCUCUCCCCGGGAAAA